rnacentral:rRNA from 1 species
UACGUAGGGUGCGAGCGUUGUCCGGAAUUAUUGGGCGUAAAGGGCUCGUAGGCGGUUUGUCGCGUCGGGAGUGAAAACGCCGGGCUUAACUCGGUGCUUGCUUUCGAUACGGGCAGACUAGAGGCAUGCAGGGGAGAACGGAAUUCCUGGUGUAGCGGUGAAAUGCGCAGAUAUCAGGAGGAACACCGGUGGCGAAGGCGGUUCUCUGGGCAUGUCCUGACGCUGAGGAGCGAAAGUGUGGGGAGCGAACAGG